CCUACGGGCGGCAGCAGUGGGGGAUAUUGGACAAUGGGGGGAACCCUGAUCCAGCGACGCCGCGUGAGUGAAGAAGUAUUUCGGUAUGUAAAGCUCUGUCAGCAGGGAAGAAAGAAAUGACGGUACCUGACCAAGAAGCCCCGGCUAACUACGGGCCAGCAGCCGCGGUAAUACGUAGGGGGCAAGCGUUAACCGGAAUUACUGGGUGGAAAGGGAGCGUAGACGGUUAAAUAAGUCUGGAGUGAAAGGCCGGGGCCCAACCCCGGGACUGCUCUGGAAACUAUUGAACUUGAGUGCAGGGGAGGUAAGCGGAAUUCCUAGUGUAGCGGUGAAAUGCGUAGAUAUUAGGAGGAACACCAGUGGCGAAGGCGGCUUACUGGACUGUAACUGACGUUGAGGCUCGAAAGCGUGGGGAGCAAACAGGAUUAGAUACCCGAGUAGUC
rnacentral:rRNA from 1 species